rnacentral:rRNA from 1 species
UACGAAGGGGGCUAGCGUUGCUCGGAAUCACUGGGCGUAAAGCGCACGUAGGCGGACUCUUAAGUCAGGGGUGAAAUCCUGGAGCUCAACUCCAGAACUGCCUUUGAUACUGGGGAGUCUUGAGUUCGGGAGAGGUGAGUGGAACUGCGAGUGUAGAGGUGAAAUUCGUAGAUAUUCGCAAGAACACCAGUGGCGAAGGCGGCUCACUGGCCCGAUACUGACGCUGAGGUGCGAAAGCGUGGGGAGCAAACAGGG